UUUCACAUCUGUUCAGAUUGG
rnacentral:piRNA from 1 species